GGAGGGCGGUACAGUCCUGGGAGCGCCGAGGAGCCCCGCCCAAGCUCUGCAGUCUGCAAGGGGACGUAAAGUGCUGCGCGCAUGCGCCGCCGGGGCGCGGCGGGACGAGAGGAGCAAAAUAUUCCUCCGUGGGAUUAAGAAGUCUUUUCCACAUUGCAUUGUAAUGCUCCCUGUUCUUGGUCUUCUUUUCCAUGUACUCAUUCUUCAAGCAUUUUCUCAUCUCCCAACUGAGGUCACUGUAACGACCAAAAAUUUUCAGAAUGCCGGGGCACAAUGCUGUGGUAUUCGUGACAUUCCUUAAGCAAGUUUAUCAAGGCAUUAGAUUCUUCAGUGUGCAAGGGUGAAGAUAAAUCAGGAUGCAUGUUUAGGAGGUGAUGGAGCACAGCAGAGCAACCUGACUCAUGGGCACAGUACCCAGGCCAGUUCCAGGUGGCAAAGGCUCCUGUGCUUUCCACAGCUGACUCUGCUGGGCUUGGCCAGGCCCCGUUGCUCUCACAGACUUUUUCAUAUUUAUAAAGAAAUGGUGGAUUUCUGCAAAAUCUAAUUUGUUUCAUACCACAGUGUAUUUUCAUUUACUACCUAAUACCAAUAUAUACUAUACCUCUUAAAACUCUUUUCCCAUUUCUGAGCAUA